AGGUGUCAUCUUUUUCAUUCUCUUUUUACCAGCCGAAUAUGAAGGCUUGAGAAGCCAUGGAAGAAGCUUCCAACUUUCAGCUAAUGCAUGGGUUGCCAGGUUAGCUCGGGUUGGAGGCCGUCAGAGAUAUUAUCACAUUGUCAAGUCUACGCUAUCGGCGUAAGUAAAUCUUAGUGUUUCGAGUCUAUGGCAUGUAUAGGGUUGUAAAGUUGAGUAAGUAAAUGAUACAAGACUAAGAUAUUGGUAAAUAUUUAAUAA